AAAGUACUCCCUCCGUCUCAAAAUUCUUGUUUUAAAUUUGUCUAAAUACGAAUGUAUCAAAUCACAUUUUAGUAUUAGAUACACCCGCAUCUAGACAAAUCUAAAAUAAAAAAUUUGAGACGGAGAGAGUAACUA
rfam:Triticum urartu cultivar G1812 contig857520, whole genome shotgun sequence.